rnacentral:rRNA from 1 species
UACGUAGGGUGCAAGCGUUGUCCGGCAUUAUUGGGCGUAAAGAGCUCGUAGGCGGUCUGUCGCGUCGAAUGUGAAAACCCGGGGCUCAACCCCGGGCCUGCAUUCGAUACGGGCAGACUAGAGUUCGGUAGGGGAGUCUGGAAUUCCUGGUGUAGCGGUGAAAUGCGCAGAUAUCAGGAGGAACACCGGUGGCGAAGGCGGGACUCUGGGCCGAUACUGACGCUGAGGAGCGAAAGCGUGGGGAGCAAACAGG